GUUGCAGAAGGUUUUGCAGAAAAGUCGAAUGGAAUUUAACCCUUGUAAAGAGUAAGAGUAAAGAAAAAAGAAAAAAUUUCGGAAGAAGGGAACUCAAAUUACAGUCAAGAAAUCAGUAGAAGAUGCAAACAUCAUUUCAGGACAUCAGAAGAUUUGCUGACUGCCAUCUCGAAUUGAAACAGAAAUUAAAGAUUUUGAAUUUUAUGAAAAGAUUCGGUAAAGAAUCCCUGUGCCUGUCUUGCAGAAAUUACUUUAAAAUUACAAAGAAGUUUCCAAUAAAGAUGGGAAGUUCUCUACAUUCGAUAUUUUCUGGUCUUUUAAAUAUAAAGAAUGCUUCGAAACAUAAAGCUUAAUAACUCAAAAGAAGACUUUUAUUUUGAAAGACGACUCUAAAUGACCUUUGUGUG